rnacentral:tRNA from 1 species
GGGCGGCUAACUCAGCGGUUAGAGUGCCAUCCUCACACGGUGGAAGUCGCAGGUUCGAAUCCCGCGCCGCCCA